UUCUGAACGCAGCCAAGUAUAGGAAUUUUAGUAUAUAAAAGCCCAUGGUGUAAGUGGCAGCCCUGCAUGUAUGCAUAUAUCAGCACAUAUGAUAUGAUCCAAGAUUGUUAAAGAAGUCUCGUGUAUAUACAAAUAAUUCAUUCUCGAGCUAUUAGAAAUUGCUGAAUUCGUGGCAGAAAACAAAUUGAUGAAACGAACAAGAACAAUUGCAAAGAAUAAAAUCGAGGAAGAUAAAAAUGUCAAGGAUACAAUAACCAAGAUUCAAACGACGCCGGAAAUUCUUUUCUAAUUGGUGUUCCAAUACGUCAUACUAAUGAAUACAUUUUUACAAACAUAAUUGAUAAACUUGAUUGUUAGUAAUUCAUAAAUUUUAUUGUUUAGUUAAACUAUUUUGAAAAUGUAAGAAGAAAAUUCUAAAACUUAAAUUUGUCCUUUAUUUUUUCUUAACAUUGCUUCUUUAGGAACGAUAUGCUCACUAUAAUGAUAUAUGUUAAAAAUGCAAGUGUCAGUUUAUUUGUGAACACAAAACUGUUGUAAAUAAAAUAUUUUUCUCUUAAAAAA
rnacentral:lncRNA from 13 species